GACUCUCGGCAACGGAUAUCUCGGCUCUCGCAUCGAUGAAGAACGUAGCGAAAUGCAAUACCUGGUGUGAAUUGCAGAAUCCCGCGAACCAUCGAGUCUUUGAACGCAAGUUGCGCCCGAGGCCACUCGGCCGAGGGCACGCCUGCCUGGGCGUCA
rnacentral:rRNA from 1 species